GAUGAACGCUGGCGGCGUGCCUAAUACAUGCAAGUCGAGCGAAUGGAUUAAGAGCUUGCUCUUAUGAAGUUAGCGGCGGACGGGUGAGUAACACGUGGGUAACCUGCCCAUAAGACUGGGAUAACUCCGGGAAACCGGGGCUAAUACCGGAUAACAUUUUGAACCGCAUGGUUCGAAAUUGAAAGGCGGCUUCGGCUGUCACUUAUGGAUGGACCCGCGUCGCAUGAGCUAGUUGGUGAGGUAACGGCUCACCAAGGCAACGAUGCGUAGCCGACCUGAGAGGGUGAUCGGCCACACUGGGACUGAGACACGGCCCAGACUCCUACGGGAGGCAGCAGUAGGGAAUCUUCCGCAAUGGACGAAAGUCUGACGGAGCAACGCCGCGUGAGUGAUGAAGGCUUUCGGGUCGUGAAACUCUGUUGUUAGGGAAGAACAAGUGCUAGUUGAAUAAGCUGGCACCUUGACGGUACCUAACCAGAAAGCCACGGCUAACUACGUGCCAGCAGCCGCCGUAA
rnacentral:rRNA from 1 species